rnacentral:rRNA from 1 species
AUUGAACGCUGGCGGCAUGCCUUACACAUGCAAGUCGAACGGUAACGCGGGGGCAACCCUGGCGACGAGUGGCGAACGGGUGAGUAAUACAUCGGAACAUAUCCAGUAGCGGGGGAUAACCUAUCGAAAGAUUGGCUAAUACCGCAUACGAUCUACGGAUGAAAGCAGGGGACCGCAAGGCCUUGCACUAUUGGAGUGGCCGAUGUCAGAUUAGCUAGUUGGUGGGGUAUAAGCCUACCAAGGCGACGAUCUGUAGCUGGUCUGAGAGGACGAUCAGCCACACUGGAACUGAGACACGGUCCAGACUCCUACGGGAGGCAGCAGUGGGGAAUUUUGGACAAUGGGGGCAACCCUGAUCCAGCAAUGCCGCGUGAGUGAAGAAGGCCU